UACGUAGGCAGCGAGCGUUGUUCGGAGUUACUGGGCGUAAAGAGUGCGUAGGCGGUUUUCCAAGUUUGGUGUGAAAUCUCCCGGCUUAACUGGGAGGGUGCGCCGAAGACUGGAAGGCUUGAGUAUGGGAGAGGUAAGCGGAAUUCCUGGUGUAGCGGUGAAAUGCGUAGAUAUCAGGAGGAACACCUGCGGUGUAGACGGCUUACUGGACCAUAACUGACGCUGAGGCACGAAAGCGUGGGUAGCAAACAGG
rnacentral:rRNA from 1 species